CUUAAAUUUUGUCCACUCGCGGCCACCGUAGCACUACCUCAUUGUGUUGUUGAGGUUAAAAUGAAGGACAAAUGUGUUUCUUUGACAGACUAUUCCUGAUCAGUGUGUAGUCUCUGAAAACGGAAUCACCAGGGUCCAUCUCUUUUGUUUCUCUCCUGUGCACGCAGAUCUCCACCGCAUAUAUGUGUCACUCCUCGAUCCUAAAUUUGCUCAAUGUAUAUGUGCAACAAUCAUGAGCGACUUUCACAGAAAGGAGUGUGUCACGUGCUGAAUGUGAAAGACUUGAAAGGCCAGUGUAACGUGACUGCCUUUGUCUCUGAGCCCGCCCAUUGAUUCAAGACAUGAUGAUGUCUUCCAGGGAGGCAGACCGUGCCGUUGGGGGGCAGCGUCCCCCUCUGGAGCAUUGUGGGGGAAACACUGGACACUAAAAAUAACCACCUUUAAAUGGUCCUGGUGUCUAAGACCAAAAACUAGCCUCAUUCAUUGAUUCAUGUAGCAGACACUAACAUGUUCUACUCUUUACAGGUCCAACACUUAUCAGACUGGCUUAACAAUUAUUUAACCUCUAAUGUUGUUUUCAAUGAUUACUCACUGUGUUUUUCCUCAAAGAUUGCAUCAAAUAUUGCAGACAUGAGAGUCAAAAUAAAUUGAAGUUUUUAUUUAGCCAUUUAUCCAAUCCACUUUAAAAUAAAUACAAGAUUUUAACAGUUACCUUCUAGAUUUGAUAAACAAUGAUGACCUCGAUCAGCCUGUUAACUUUUCUAACAAGACACAUUGAAUAUUCCAAAAAUGUGAGGGUCUGUUUUAAAACUGAUUCAUUGCAUUCUCUUGAGUAGUCUUCUUUUAGAAUAAAUAAUCUGCAUAUGAUGAUGACAGUAAUCAUUAGAUUUUCUACAAUAAAUCCACAAGGAAAAAUUAUUCAAUAAAUUGCUGGAUAUUUUCCAAAGUAAGUAAUAGCUGGAAGUGACAGUGUUUACUUAACUUGCAACAAACUCUUCUGAUCUAUUAGGAAAAAAAACACAAACAAAAAAACCACGAACGCAGUGCUCUAAACUUCCCUUUGACAUUUGAUCACCUCACCUGUGUGAUGCGGGUGUUGCAGAUUGAAGAGAGCCGAUCUCUCCUUCUUCCAGUUCUUAUCAUCCUCCUCCAGCAUUGAGUCAUGAUGUCUGUCGAAGCUGUUGGCCUGCAUGGACCUCUCAAACCACAUUUGUCGCAGAAACACGUACAGGGUGAAGGUUCCCACCGCGAAACCCGCGUAGAAGGAGAAUCUGGAACCUAACGCCUUCAUACUGGACCUGGUGCCUCACCGUCGGUCGAUCAACUGGGCAGCUGCUGAACAGUAAACGACAGUUCAACUACACAGGCCGCGAGCGAGGCAGGGUAACUUUUACUUCGGACGACAGGAAUAAAUAUGUCACUCCCUGUUUGAGGAGUGGUUCAACACGACUUACCAGUCUUACCACCGUCAUAAUAGCAGCAGCUGUGGUCCCCGAAAGCUACAUCUCACACGAACAUACGUCCACGUCGGAAACACGUUUCACCGCAGCCUGUUAAUGUGUGUGACGAGGAAAUCCAAUAUCGAUAUCAGCGAGACACGUUACCGAAGAAAACUGAAUUAUGACGGCAACAAAACGCCACAGACGUUGCUAGCUAGCAGGCGUUAAAUGUUUACUUGUCCAUUAAGUUAGCAAUAAGCGACAGUGACAGCAUGCUGCUGCCACACUAUAACACCACAGACCACCGGGCAAAAGAAACUAAUAAAAAUUCAAACCUUUUGUCAUAGUUUUAAGACUAAUCUAAAAGCGGAAAAGAAUAACCCUUCCAAGACGCGUUCAAGUGAUCUGACGUAUUACUUCCGUCAUGAAAAGGCCGCUUCCGGUCAUAAGAAAUCCGUUUACUCCCGUUCAAAAGAUAUUUUUAUUUUAAAAAAACGUGAUAAUGGAACGCUCGUGCAAAUACAGUGUGUUGGUCUUCAUUGAAAACCAAGGACAACGUUUUGUGCUAUUUUAAUGGGGUUUUAUUUUGACGUUCCGUAUCAGAACUGUGCCGGGUUCCGGCAAAGUGAUGGGAAUUGACACUUUAGAUACCAAUUUUUAGAUUUGUGAUGGCAUGUUGAAUUCAAAUAGAUUAGAAUAACGAACAAGAGUUUUUGCGUUUUUUCUUCAGUAUUCGGUUCUAUUGCCUGCGUUGAUCAUAAAUGCAUGCAAUUCUAAUUUUACAUUUCUUCCAUUGACCAAAUUUAUAUGAAAUACAACAAAAUAUAUUCAGGUUUGAUUAUCGAGAUGAUAUUCAUAUAAUAAAUUAUAAACCAUAUCAUUAAUUAUACAACAAUAAUAAUUGUGAAAUUAGUUUGGUCAUGCUUCAGUGGGAAACUGGCACUGGAAGAGUAAGCACAGAUCCAAAAGGGGAUCCACCGAUCCCUCUAAGAGCGGGCUCACAUUUGAUAAGGGUUGGAACCAGCAAGUAUUAAUAUUGAGAAGCUAAAACAAGUGAUGUCACCAGACAGCUUGUGUGAAUGAGUCUGAUUUCCAGCUGAUGUUGAAAGCUGAAUGUUGAAGUUCAACCUGUGUUAGUACAAGACAAAUACAAGACUGUGAAGCGCUAACACAACCACAGCUGCCAUGCAUCGUCUCUCACCACCCACAGUCAACAGUACGACCAGACACACCUGCUAGAUUAAAUAUUGAGUACAAAGUCAUCUCAUGCCACAAACAUGGAUUCAGCACCAGUGUCAAUCCCCGUUCACAACUGUCAAGUUCAAAUGAUCUUGUUAUAACAAGAUCAUAAGACGACUGGUUUGUGACACUUCUAAACAGCUUUUUAUAAAACGAUGUUUAGAAGAGUCACAAACAAAACCAGUCAUCUUAUCCAUCUCUCCAUGUCACCUCUCUUUCUUGGAUAAUAAUCCACGUUCAAUCCCUUUGCAUGAGAGAUGCUGUCAAGGUAAUGCUGGAAAUUAGCAUUUUCAUUUCCUAAGUUUGAAUUGCAUUCAAAUUUCAAAUCACUCAAGUCUACAUGACUAAAAUAAACCCUUUCAUGUUUGUGUUUGACACUUAUGACUGAGUCUCAGCAUCAGUGAAAUGUACCGACCUGAAGUUUGAACAUUAUCCAACUUUUUAAAUACAUCAGUAAAUACCCAAAUGAUAAGUGAAUACUAUCAGGAGACAAUUGUUCUCACCACUUUCCUUCUUGAUAUUUGUCAUGAAAGUGGAGCUUAGACUUCAUCAAACCAAAGAUGUGAGUAUUGCAACACUUAAACUUAUUAAAGAGACAGUUACCUUCGAGUGAAACCAGUCUGUGAAGUAAUUGAGAGCUGCCAAUCAAACACACAACAGCAUUUUUGAAGAUCAUUCCCAAUUGUGAGCCAUGUGAGUGAGGUAUGCGUUAUGCCACAGUGAAAAGACCUUGAUCAGAGUCGACCUUUCUGCAGGUAAUCUGACUGCACUAUUGCUUUUAUUGGUUAAUCUUGAACAUCAACACCUCACAAAUGCCAGAAACGUGUUUGUGGGUUUCAUUUAAAAAUAAAAAUAAAAAUAUUGCAGGGUCAGGCUGAUCUGAUUUCACCAAGCGACAUCAAGUUUAAAAAAAAAAAAAAAAAAGACGUUUACAUUUAUACAUAUUUACACUUCAUCAGCCACAAAACAAUACAAAUUCAGCCCUUUUCAGAAAACGGUUAAAGUUUCCUCCAAAAAAAAAAACUUUUGGGUCUUUUAUUCCAAAAAUACUUUUACAACUUUAAAAGCCUUUUGGAAAAGAUGAAACAUCAAAGAACUACGGCCCACUUCCUGAAGAAAGCAGACAAAAGCCAUACAUAAUAAAUUAAUUUUUGACUCAAUAACAGUAAGGUCUACAGCUCAGAUUUCCUGGCUCCCCAUGAAGGGGAGAAAUGCCAUGUCAUUCAACUGACAAGUGGCUUUUGUUAUAUCGUGCAACACAGACGGUGUCCUCUCAAGACACAUAUUGCCUUUUUCAUGACACACAGACACAACUUCUGAAUGUGCAAACAGUGAGCUCAUAUUAUCAAGCUAUCAGCCGUGUUUAAUAGCAAUAACUGAGCCACAGGGACCCUUUUUCCAGGAGCCGCCACUCUCGCCGCUCCUCACAGGAGUCCACUUUCCCAGAGGACGAGCGUGCUCACACGUCCACGUCGUCCGACUCUGAGGUGCUGGCUGACUGUGACUCCUCCUGGGAGUCUCCCCACACAAACCUAUAGUUGUUCUCCAGCUCCUGCUGUCGCUUCUGCUCCUUGUAAACUUCUUCAGUUCCUCCUGUCUGUGAUGCAAACAAAGACUUACGUUUAACUUGGAUCUACUUUAACUGACUUCAGCAGCAAGCAGCAAAUGGACUCCAUGAGUCAAGAGGGAAGUAUCUCUUCAUACUACCCAUGACGACCUAUAAUCUUGUCAGCUGAUGAAAAGAAACUGUAGUAGACUUCAGCUCACCACACCCUUUCCUGUGUUUUCACUGUAACUUGCAAACAAAAAUGCAAAGUCAAAAGGAAAAUCACUUCCUGAUUGAAAGAGCCAAAGCCUUAAUAUGACACCUUACACUGUUCUGCAAUCCCUAAAUUAGAGGACAUUGAAUACAAUUUUUUUGUUUUUAAAAUUAUUCAUUACAGCGGAGAAUGGGGGGCGGGCAAUUAAAUACCAUUGUGAGGAGCUAUCAAGCCCAAGGAAAUACGCUAAUGACACAGUGUUGAUAUGACGGGAAAACUAAAUGAGAAAAAAAAUAAGUGUGGCUAUAAUGUGAAAUUACAUUUCACGCAAACAAUGUAAGUCGAUUGUGUCUCAUCAUUCAAAACACAUUCCAUUUCAAGAUUCUCGAUGCUUUUCAAAAUCUAUUUUCAAUUUCCGAUGCAUUUUAUGAGACAAGAAAUUCUACUAAAAUAGUUAACUGAACGACAACAAACAAUACAACAGUGAAGUUGUAUUUCAGUUGCAGUCGUAAUGAAAAAAUAAUGCAAACACUAUUUUGAUUCAUUUGUUAGAUUUAGAUUGAUAAGCGUUUUGCACAAGUCUUAUUCCAUUGUUGCUUUAUUGAUGAAAAGUCUGAAUACCCCAUUUAAUGGAACGGACCAAGACCUGGGUGAAUGUAAGGUACAAAUGAAACCAUCACAUAAGUCAUGGCCAGUUACCCCAUUUAAUAGAACAGACCAAGACCUGGGUGAAUGUAAGGUACAAAUGAAACCAUCACAUAAGUCAUGGCCAGUUACCCCAUUUAAUAGAACAGACCAAGACCUGGGUGAAUGUAAGGUACAGGUAAGCGCCAAGUGAUCAACCCUACCAGGAGAUUUAUGAGCAGCUCCCUGAAGGAUUUGGUGUCUUCUUCAGUCAGCCACUGGUCACCCGCCUCCUCUGCGCUCUUCCGCGUGAGAAUCUUCACUUCUAUUUUUCCUUCAAAUGAAACACAUAGGUUGGUUAUAUACACACAGCGUUGAAGAUGCUGUAAUGGUUCAUUGUUGAAAUUGAAAGGGGUGUAGAGCGACAGGGAGAAGGAUGGGAUGGAUGACGCUACUUGAGCAAUUGGCUUUGGGUAUGUAAUGCAACUGUGCAAGCUUACAAUUAUCUUUUAUCAAUCGUGUUGUCAGAUUGUUUUGUGAGCAAAGACCUGGGAUAUAGUUUGGUUUCAGAAGAUGACAGGAAAGGUGCAAUGCUGUACACGGAAAGCAACAGAAGAGAAAGAGGGCCGCAAGUGGUUGAGACACUCCCUUUCAUACCUUCGGCCUUCAGUCCUGCUUUCUCUAGCUGUUCCUUAACCACGUCCUUUAUGUGCUGCCACUGCGGGUCUCCUUCGCCCAUCUCCUGAACUUUGACCUCCCCAUCAGGGCUGCCGCCCGUCUUAUACUUAGUAAUUUUGAUCUUAACCUGGUCAUCAGCUGCUUGGUCUGGGGUGACGAGACAAAAGAAGGACAAACAACAAGUUCACCUCAAAACCAAUCAGCAGAGCCACAUGAUGAAGGCCAUCGACUGCACGCGUGUGACUUGCGGCUUCUUUAUUUAUAAGUAAUUAAUGUGCAGUCGUUUUUAACAUUGUUCAAAAAACAUAUCCGAAACACAAACCACUUCUAAUAAUGCAUGGAUUCCAGGUGUGUGUUACUAUGUGGACUUCUGAUUAAAUGGAUGAGGGUGGGAAGGGUCAAAUCGUGCCCAUGGUCACCUGUAGGAAGGUCUGCUGUCUUACCUGGCUGUUUUGGAGCCAGGCUGGGGCUGCCCCUCGUAGGGUCGCUGACUCUUGGGACCAUUUUUUGUUCUGGAUCCUCAACAUCUUUUUCCUCUAAAUGAUCAAGAAGCUUAUCGAGUGUGGUCUCAAGUGUCUGCGUUGCCUGGGUGCGAUCAAACUCUCCCUUUAAUCCUUCGGUCUCCAGCUCCUGCUGAGCCUGCGGGAGAAAUCAGGAGACACGUGUUAAAGGUUCACACUCAGGUUGAGUGUGUGUGUGUGUGUGUGUGUGUGUGUGUGUGUGUGUGUUUACUUGUACAGCAAUUCUUGUGGGGACUAUUUCUUGGAAAUACACCUACCUACUUGUGGAGACGUUUGCCGGCCCCCUCAAGUGUAAGCCUCAAUUUGAUGUUGGAAACGUAAAAAUAACAGGUACAUUGUAACUGGGUUUAAGUUUGCUAAAGAUCCCUAGUUAAGGCCAUUUGUUUUGGAUGGAUAGGUUUAGGAUGAGAGGCUGAGGAAAGCAUUAGAGCAAUGAGCAGUCACCACAAGGAUAGAGUGUGUGUGUGUGUGUGUGUGUGUGUUUGUGUAAUGUCAAUCACCUCAUUAAUAAUAUUGUCAAACUCCUUAUGCAUCUUUUCUUUAAUCUCUUCCGUCUUGUGAGAUGGCAAAGACAGGUCAGCCAUCUCGUCCUCAAACUCUUUCAAGAGCUGCUCAUCCUCAUCUUUCUCUUCCUCCGUAUUUCUUCCUGUAAUCUUUUCUUUUGUCGAUUCUUCUGCAUGAUCUUUCGCUUCACUUUGUGCUCUCUUUAAAACAGAAAUUGUUGGGAUUCAGUAGUAAGCGACGAUAGGCUAAGAUAAGCACAAGCGAGCCACAAACCCACCUUUCUGUUGCUCUCUUUCAGAUGCUGGACAAAUUUCAACAGGUCUGCUGGGUCGGUGAUGAUCUUGAAGUUGAAUUUUUCGACUAAAAGAAAAAUACAAAGAGUCCCACAGAGCAGACAAAUUACCAUCAUCACCAUCGUCUGUGACUUCAUUGUCAGAAUACCCAUCAUCUGCCACCUGCAGUGGGACAAGAAAAGAGAGACUGACCUCUGAGGGAGAGCUUUCUUCUGACACUGCAUCUUCUGAGACAUCUGACAUAUCUGAGGCACAAAGGAGGAAAUUCCAGUUUUACACUCAAUGCCUCCAAAAAAAUCAAUUCAAUCACCAUAGGAAUCGAACCAUGAAUGCACCUUUAGCUUCUGAGCUGUCCAGUGCUGCUACAGGGGGAGUCUCCUCUGCAGUGACCUCCACUGGAGCAUUGGAACCUGCACUACUUGCCAAGAUCUCAUCCAGCGUCCUGAGCUCUUCAGAGAUCUGCUCUACUUUACGCUUUGUGUCAGCUUGCAACAGAAUGGGGAGGGCAGAAACGACAAAAGAGGGAUAGAAAUAUAAAAUGUGAAAGACUAAAGUGUAGCUGAAUAUGCCAUGGCCAAUCCCGGAUCUAGGUGGAGCAAUCUUUCAAUAUUGUGAUUUAUGAGCUAAGCCACUCACAGACUUGUGCUUUGACGUAGUCCAUGUACUGCUCUGCGCUCAGAGCCGGCUGGCACACAAUGCCCUGGGGCUUGGCACUGGACAGCGGCCGCAGGAGAGGAUGUUGGCAGGUGCGACUGGUAUGAACAGUCAGCACAUAGCGACAUGACUGUGGCUCAUCCACUCGGGCGAUGUAGUCACUGGAUCCCUCCUCGCACAUAAACUACAGAGAUAGAAGAUCAUGGUCAGGAUUAUGCUGUCAGGUCAUCAUGUAACUACGACUGACAUUCUUUAAUAUCCAAUUCUUUUAUUCAAACGACUUACACGGACUUCAGUUUCUCUUGGCUUUCCGUUAAUGUCACACUUGGAGCCGUUGACGUAAGUUUGACUGUGGUAACGUCUCAACUUGUGCUGUUUAGAGGACUGUGGAAAGAUGAUGAGACUCAUUCAUACAACUUAAAAUAGAUUCACUGUGUUUAAAUAUAAAUGACUAAAUAUAAACACACCAACAACCAUGUAAACCAGACACUGUUUACCUUUGCCAUUUCGCUGCUCCAGUCAAAUUCAGACUCAUAAUAACCAAGAAAGAGAAUAUCCCCUCGGAUAUCUGUGUCUGUGGAGGAAUAUACAAUGUGUUGAUUUGCUUUCACAAAAAUAAGUUUAGUUUAUUUUGGACUAUAACAAGACCUUCAAGGUGGUACUGUCGGAUGUGUUGGCCAUGACAGAACUCAUACGUCCACCAGUCUUUAGUCUGGAAAAAUAAUGAACAGUGAUCAUUGCAUUAGAAAUGUAUUAGAUAUAACUGAACUAUGUCAAUGCAUGAUCAAAAUAAGGGUGUUUCAUUUAGAUAUUAUACAUGUAAAUAUACAAAUACAUUGCAAAUAUAUAUGUAAAGUUUCAUUUGCUUCCUCCACUUGCACAAUUCCUUCCCACUUUUUCGAUGCAUGUGGAGGGAGGUUUGCACAUGUGAAUGUGCAAAAGUACUUGGCAGCAAUUUCUCACGACUGUUUCACACUGAUAAGCUCCAGUGGACAAAAACACUGGGCGUUAGUAUAGGGUAGACAGUUUAACAUUCUUAGAGGUAUAGUCAGGAAUUGAAGCAGAAUUAGACUGGGAACGUUUUCAAGUACGAAUUGUUAUUCUUAGAGAAAAUAAAUGUAUAUGGUUUUGACAAAAUUGUCAUUUAGUUUUAAGCAGAGUUGCAUUUUCUUCUCACUAAAAGAAGUCAGUUAAUGUGGUUGGGUGCCUCAUGAGAUAAAGUUUUAGCAGACACGUCAAAAUGCAUAUCUCGGUUUGAGCGAGCCGAAAUGUGACAUUGGCAAAUACUGACCUUCACCAGACACGGUGCAUUUUGCAAGGCACUGAGGAGGUCAGGAAUGUCCGGACCAUCGUAGCCCAGAAAGUCCGACUCAGAAGCGGAGUCGUGGUGGAAGCGGACUGCCUGGGCUGGAAGCCGACACUCAUACAACUGCUUGUACUUACUGGACACCAUCAUCACCUCCUCCGUCUUAGUCUGCGCCAAGAAACACAAUUGAAAACUUAGAAUAAACUGCAAAAACCCAGGACAAACUUGUGUUUUCGAUGACAAUUGGACGACUUAACGAGAGGGGGUGAUACGAAACUAUGGUUUGUUGACAGCUGUCAGCGACGAUGGCAAACUCACACGGAAACGACAGGAUUUUAUAGAUUUCUUACACGUAUAUAUCGUAGGACAACGUGUCAUUUUUAUCAUUCGGACAAUAAUUUUCAUACCAAAGCCACUUCUGACAUGAGGCUAACUGAAGGUAGCGUGCUAGCUCGCUAAGCUAACCAUCAGCUCGAAUGGACGACUCUUUUUUACCUGUCCCAUAAUAACAGGGUUGGAAAGAAUCUCAAUCCCGUAUUUCAUGUCGUUUAACUCCUCCAGAUUCAGGAACGCCGCCGUGCAGAGCGGAUGUGUCAACAGAAAAACACACCAUCUUAUCAGCUGCUGUUUCAAGGAGGCUGCCAUGAUGGAUUCACUUCCCGAACCCCCUUUUCCCCCACCUCCUCAACUUUAUUGAACACUCAAAUGUAACAAUGGUGUUUGAUUUAGUUUUAGGUAAAUCAUUCUCAAUUAGCAGCAGAGAUUAAAUACAUGUCUACAAACCAUUAAUUCCUUUACCAACAGAAUAGCUCUCUCAUUUGUUAA